GAUGAACGCUGGCGGCGUGCCUAAUACAUGCAAGUCGAGCGAACGGACGAGAAGCUUGCUUCUCUGAUGUUAGCGGCGGACGGGUGAGUAACACGUGGAUAACCUACCUAUAAGACUGGGAUAACUUCGGGAAACCGGAGCUAAUACCGGAUAAUAUUUUGAACCGCAUGGUUCAAAAGUGAAAGACGGUCUUGCUGUCACUUAUAGAUGGAUCCGCGCUGCAUUAGCUAGUUGGUAAGGUAACGGCUUACCAAGGCAACGAUGCAUAGCCGACCUGAGAGGGGGGUCGGCCACCAUGGAACUGAGCCACGGCCCAGACUCCUACGGGAGGCAGCAGGAGGGAAUCUUCCGCAAUGGGCGAAAGCCUGACGGAGCAACGCCGCGUGAGUGAUGAAGGUUUUCGGAUCGUAAAACUCUGUUAUUAGGGAAGAACAUAUGUGUAAGUAACUGUGCACGUCUUGACGGUACCUAAUCAGAAAGCCACGGCUAACUACGUG
rnacentral:rRNA from 1 species